rnacentral:rRNA from 1 species
AAAUUGAAGAGUUUGAUCAUGGCUCAGAUUGAACGCUGGCGGCAGGCCUAACACAUGCAAGUCGAACGGUAGCACAGAGAGCUUGCUCUCGGGUGACGAGUGGCGGACGGGUGAGUAAUGUCUGGGAAACUGCCUGAUGGAGGGGGAUAACUACUGGAAACGGUGGCUAAUACCGCAUAACGUCGCAAGACCAAAGAGGGGGACCUUCGGGCCUCUUGCCAUCAGAUGUGCCCAGAUGGGAUUAGCUAGUUGGUGAGGUAACGGCUCACCAAGGCGACGAUCCCUAGCUGGUCUGAGAGGAUGACCAGCCACACUGGAACUGAGACACGGUCCAGACUCCUACGGGAGGCAGCAGUGGGGAAUAUUGCACAAUGGGCGCAAGCCUGAUGCAGCCAUGCCGCGUGUAUGAAGAAGGCCUUCGGGUUGUAAAGUACUUUCAGCGGGGAGGA